AUCGAUGAAGAACGCAGCGAAAUGCGAUAAGUAAUGUGAAUUGCAGAAUUCAGUGAAUCAUCGAAUCUUUGAACGCACAUUGCGCCCCCUGGUAUUCCGGGGGGCAUGCCUGUUCGAGCGUCAUUUCACCACUCAAGCCUCGCUUGGUAUUGGGCAACGCGGUCCGCCGCGUGCCUCAAAUCGUCCGGCUGGGUCUUCUGUCCCCUAAGCGUUGUGGAAACUAUUCGCUAAAGGGUGUUCGGGAGGCUACGCCGUAAAACAACCCCAUUUCUAAGGUUGACCUCGGAUCAGGUAGGGAUACCCGCUGAACUUAAGCAUAUCAAUAAGCGGAGGAAAAGAAACCAACAGGGAUUGCUCUAGUAACGGCGAGUGAAGCAGCAAUAGCUCAAAUUUGAAAUCUGGCGUCUUCGACGUCCGAGUUGUAAUUUGUAGAGGAUGCUUCUGAGUGGCCACCGACCUAAGUUCCUUGGAACAGGACGUCAUAGAGGGUGAGAAUCCCGUAUGCGGUCGGAAAGGCGCUCUAUACGUAGCUCCUUCGACGAGUCGAGUUGUUUGGGAAUGCAGCUCUAAAUGGGAGGUAAAUUUCUUCUAAAGCUAAAUAUUGGCCAGAGACCGAUAGCGCACAAGUAGAGUGAUCGAAAGAUGAAAAGCACUUUGGAAAGAGAGUUAAACAGUACGUGAAAUUGUUGAAAGGGAAGCGCUUGCAACCAGACUUGCGCGCUGAUGAUCAUCCGGGCUUCUGCCCGGUGCACUCGUCUGCGCUCAGGCCAGCAUCGGUUUCGGUGGUGGGAUAAAGGCCUUGGGAAUGUGGCUCCUCUCGGGGAGUGUUAUAGCCCUCGGUGCAAUGCCGCCUACCGGGACCGAGGACCGCGCUUCGGCUAGGAUGCUGGCGUAAUGGUUGUAAGCGACCCGUCUUGAAACACGG
rnacentral:rRNA from 1 species